CCGAAAGGCGUAGGCGAUGGGAACCAGGUUAAUAUUCCUGGGCCAGGAGGAUGUGACGGAUUGCGAAGGUAGUUUGCUCUUAUCGGAUUGAGCAGGCUGCUGAGCAGUCCCUGGAAAUAGCCCUCCAUCAGACCGUACCCUAAACCGACACAGGUGGACUGGUAGAGAAUACCAAGGCGCUUGAGAGAACGAUGUUGAAGGAACUCGGCAAAAUACCUCCGUAAGUUCGCGAGAAGGAGGCCCGGGUCCUACGCAAGUGGAAUCCGGGGGCACAAACCAGGGGGUGGCGACUGUUUAUUAAAAACACAGGGCUCUGCGAAG
rnacentral:rRNA from 13 species